GUACACGCUGUGACUAGCAUAUCAAUAAGCGGAGGAAAAGAAACUAACAAGGAUUCCCCUAGUAACGGCGAGUGAAGCGGGAAGAGCUCAAAUUUGAAAUCUUAAAGGGUUUCCCUUUACGAAUUGUAGUUUAAAGAGGUGUUUUCUGUUGAGGUUUUGGUAAAAGUUCUUUGGAAUAGGACAUCAUAGAGGGUGAGAAUCCCGUAUUUGACCUUUACUUUCAACUUUGUGAUACACUUUCAAAGAGUCGGAUUGUUUGGGAAUGCAGUCCAAAAUGGGUGGUAAAUUUCAUCUAAAGCUAAAUAUUGGCGAGAGACCGAUAGCGAACAAGUACCGUGAGGGAAAGAUGAAAAGAACUUUGAAAAGAGAGUUAAACAGUACGUGAAGUUGUCAAAAGGGAAGCGUUUGACACCAGUGUUGUUUUUCUGAAAAUCAAUUAAGGAACUGUUUAUGCUAAGUUGUUUAGACUUUAUCAGCUAACUGUUUAGUUUUGAGCUUUUCUUUAAUGCACUUUUCAGUUAACAAGUCAACAUCAAUUUCUUUUGCUGUAAAAAGGCUUGAGGAAGGUGGCUUGAGAUUCGUCUUAAGUGUUUAUAGCCUCUUGCCUAUGCAGUCGGAGAGAUUGAGGUCUGCAGCGUAGAUCCUUCGGGGCUAAAUGCAUUUGUGCUAAGUUAUAGCAUUUUCAUAGACAACUUGCUGACUAUGAUUUGUCUUGUAGCUUACUCGCUUAUGUUAUUUUACCUACGCUUAGGAUGUUGACAGCAGUAUAGACUGU
rnacentral:rRNA from 1 species